rnacentral:miRNA from 1 species
AGUAUAGGUUGUACACUGCAUAAGCCCAGAGGACACCAUUCAAAUGGAAUAGAUGUGCAUGGUGCCCUUGGAGUUGUGCGAUGCAGCAGCCUUGUC